rnacentral:rRNA from 1 species
GACGAACGCUGGCGGCGUGCUUAACACAUGCAAGUCGAACGGAAAGGCCCUGCUUUUGUGGGGUGCUCGAGUGGCGAACGGGUGAGUAACACGUGAGUAACCUGCCCUUGACUUUGGGAUAACUUCAGGAAACUGGGGCUAAUACCGGAUAGGAGCUCCUGCUGCAUGGUGGGGGUUGGAAAGUUUCGGCGGUUGGGGAUGGACUCGCGGCUUAUCAGCUUGUUGGUGGGGUAGUGGCUUACCAAGGCUUUGACGGGUAGCCGGCCUGAGAGGGUGACCGGCCACAUUGGGACUGAGAUACGGCCCAGACUCCUACGGGAGGCAGCAGUGGGGAAUAUUGCACAAUGGGCGGAAGCCGGAUGCAGCAACGCCGCGUGCGGGAUGACGGCCUUCGGGUUGUAAACCGCUUGCGCCUGUGACGAAGCGUGAGUGACGGUAAUGUGUAAAGAAGCACCGGCUAACUACGUG